GAUGAACGCUGGCGGCGUGCCUAACACAUGCAAGUCGGGCGGACAGACGAGGUUCUUGUGCCUCUGGCGUUAGUGGCGGACAGGGGAGUAACAUGUGGAUAACCUACCCAUAAGACUGGGGUAACUUAGGGAAACCGGAGCUAAUACCGGAAAAUAUAAUGAACCGGAUGGGUGAAUUGGGAAAGAAGGGUUUGCUGGUAAUUUAAGAUGGAACCGCGGCGCAUUUGCUAGGUGGUAAGGUAACGGCUUACCAAGGCGACGAUGCGUAGCCGACCUGAGAGGGUGAUCGGCCACACUGGAACUGAGACACGGUCCAGACUCCUACGGGAGGCAGCAGUAGGGAAUCUUCCGCAAUGGGCGAAAGCCUGACGGAGCAACGCCGCGUGAGUGAUGAAGGUCUUCGGAUCGUAAAACUCUGUUAUUAGGGAAGAACAAAUGUGUAAGUAACUAUGCACGUCUUGACGGUACCUAAUCAGAAAGCCACGGCUAACUACGUG
rnacentral:rRNA from 1 species